CUAAUGGAGAGUUUGAUCCUGGCUCAGGACGAACGCUGGCGGCGCGCCUAACACAUGCAAGUCGAGGGAGAACCAGGCAGCUUGCUGCUUGGGGAGACCGGCGAACGGGUGAGUAACACGUGAGGAACCUACCUUGGAGACCGGAAUAACCACGGGAAACUGUGGCUAAUGCCGGAUGACCUGUCAAUCUCGCAUGGGAUUGCCAGGAAAUGGUCCGCCGCUCCAAGAUGGCCUCGCGGCCUAUCAGCUAGUUGGUGAGGUAACGGCUCACCAAGGCGACGACGGGUAGCUGGCGUGAGAGCGCGACCAGCCACACUGGGACU
rnacentral:rRNA from 1 species